rnacentral:rRNA from 1 species
AGUGAACGCUGGCGGUAGGCCUAACACAUGCAAGUCGAACGGCAGCACAGUAAGAGCUUGCUCUUACGGGUGGCGAGUGGCGGACGGGUGAGGAAUACAUCGGAAUCUACUUUUUCGUGGGGGAUAACGUAGGGGAACUUACGCUAAUACCGCAUACGACCUACGGGUGAAAGCAGGGGAUCUUCGGACCUUGCGCGAUUGAAUGAGCCGAUGUCGGAUUAGCUAGUUGGCAGGGUAAAGGCCCACCAAGGCGACGAUCCGUAGCUGGUCUGAGAGGAUGAUCAGCCACACUGGAACUGAGACACGGUCCAGACUCCUACGGGAGGCAGCAGUGGGGAAUAUUGGACAAUGGGCGCAAGCCUGAUCCAGCCAUACCGCGUGGGUGAAGAAGGCCUUCGGGUUGUAAAGCCCUUUUGUUGGGAAAGAAAAGCAGCAGGUUAAUACCCCGCUGUUCUGACGGUACCCAAAGAAUAAGCACCGGCUAACUUCGUG